rnacentral:rRNA from 1 species
UACAUGGGGUGCAAACGUUGCUCGGAAUUAUUGGGCGUAAAGCGCACGUAGGCGGUUCGUUAAGUCGGAUGUGAAAGCCCUCGGCUCAACUGAGGAAGUGCACCCGAAACUGGCGAGCUUGAGUACGAAAGAGGAUCGCGGAAUUCCCGGUGUAGAGGUGAAAUUCGUAGAUAUUCGGAGGAACACCAGUGGCGAAGGCGGCUCACUGGUCCGGUACUGACGCUGAGGUGCGAAAGCGUGGGGAGCAAACAGG